rnacentral:snoRNA from 1 species
GGGGCGGUGAUGAGUCCAAACAUGCCAUCUUGAGUGCCCGUGCAGAAAACAGAAGGUGUUUCUGAAGCUG